AGAGUUUGACUCCUGGCUCAGGACGAACGCUGGCGGCGUGCUUAACACAUGCAAGUCGAACGAUGAAGCCUAGCUUGCUAGGUGGAUUAGUGGCGAACGGGUGAGUAAUACGUGAGUAACCUACCUUUAACUCUGGGAUAAGCCUGGGAAACUGGGUCUAAUACCGGAUACGACCAAUCUCCGCAUGGGGUGUUGGUGGAAAGCGUUAUGUAGUGGUUAUAGAUGGGCUCACGGCCUAUCAGCUUGUUGGUGAGGUAACGGCUCACCAAGGCGACGACGGGUAGCCGGCCUGAGAGGGUGACCGGCCACACUGGGACUGAGACACGGCCCAGACUCCUACGGGAGGCAGCAGUGGGGAAUAUUGCACAAUGGGCGCAAGCCUGAUGCAGCGACGCCGCGUGAGGGAUGGCGGCCUUCGGGUUGUAAACCUCUGUUAGCAGGGAAGAAGAGAGAUUGACGGUACCUGCAGAGAAAGCGCCGGCUAACUACGUG
rnacentral:rRNA from 1 species